rnacentral:ncRNA from 1 species
GUUGGUUUGCAUUGUGCAAUCAAAAGGGAAUUGAGUGAAAAUCUCAAACAGACCCGCUGCUGUAAAUUCCAUUAAAGUACAGCGCUGACACGUCACUGACCUCGGCAAGAGAGCCCGGGUCGGGAAGACCGCGCAAAGUACCGGAACAAGUCAGAAGACCUGCCAACGU